rnacentral:rRNA from 1 species
UACGGGGGGAGCAAGCGUUGUUCGGAUUUACUGGGCGUAAAGGGCGCGUAGGCGGCGCAACAAGUCACUUGUGAAAUCUCCGGGCUUAACUCGGAGCGGCCAAGUGAUACUGUCGUGCUAGAGUGCGGAAGGGGCUACUGGAAUUCUCGGUGUAGCGGUGAAAUGCGUAGAUAUCAGGAAGAACACCGGUGGCGAAGGCGGCUCUCUGGGCCUUACCUGACGCUGAGGAGCGAAAGCGUGGGUAGCGAACAGG